UUGUGUCCUAAGGAAACUAUAUUGAAGAUAAUUGAAAUGAUUACAAUUCGCUGCUGCCUGACUUUGAAUAUGAGGAGUCACAUAAUGACAUUCCCUUCAUACAACAACAGUUUAAUUUCCAUUCUCCGUCUUUGGAGUCCUUGCGCCAGCCGCCCGGGCAACGCGGUGUUGAUGCAGAAAUCUUGGCUCCCGUCUGCAUUAUUUAUGCAUGUGUGUGGGUGUGUAUGGGUGAGACAGGAACGGAGACAGGGUUCAACCUCUUCCCACCCUUGGUCUGGAAAUUCCAAGGAACCCUUGGACACCAGGGAGCAGAGGGAAUCGCUAUCCUGGGCCGCUCUGCCCGUCGAGGCUGCAGCGAAGAUAAGGCUUCCUGCGGCCACUCCAAACCCUGAGACCACCAGAAAAGAAAGAAGAAAAAGUCAGUUUCUACGCAGUGCGAGACGCUAGCGCUCACCUUUGAGCGCAGCCUCUUGGAACUCUUAAAGCCCGGCCAGGCAGCCAGGAGGGGUGCAAGGAACGGGACGUUUCAGCUGAUGUCUUGUUUUCCUCACUUGGUGUUUCUUCUGCAAUGCCCAGCAACACCCCGCCCGCCUCUGCCGUCUUUCCG
ensembl:lncRNA